rnacentral:rRNA from 1 species
CCUACGGGCGGCAGCAGUGAGGAAUAUUGGUCAAUGGACGAGAGUCUGAACCAGCCAAGUAGCGUGAAGGAUGACUGCCCUAUGGGUUGUAAACUUCUUUUAUAUGGGAAUAAAAUGUUCCACGUGUGGGUUUUUGUAUGUACCAUAUGAAUAAGGAUCGGCUAACUCCGUGCCAGCAGCCGCGGUAAUACGGAGGAUGCGAGCGUUAUCCGGAUUUAUUGGGUUUAAAGGGAGCGUAGGUGGAUUGUUAAGUCAGUUGUGAAAGUUUGCGGCUCAACCGUAAAAUUGCAGUUGAAACUGGCAGUCUUGAGUACAGUAGAGGUGGGCGGAAUGCGUGGUGUAGCGGUGAAAUGCUUAGAUAUCACGAAGAACUCCGAUUGCGAAGGCAGCUCACUGGACUGCAACUGACACUGAGGCUCGAAAGUGUGGGUAUCAAACAGGAUUAGAUACCCCGGUAGUC